rnacentral:rRNA from 1 species
UAAGUGAAGAGUUUGAUCCUGGCUCAGAGUGAACGCUGGCGGUAGGCCUAACACAUGCAAGUCGAACGGCAGCACAGGAGAGCUUGCUCUCUGGGUGGCGAGUGGCGGACGGGUGAGGAAUACAUCGGAAUCUACUUUUUCGUGGGGGAUAACGUAGGGAAACUUACGCUAAUACCGCAUACGACCUACGGGUGAAAGCAGGGGAUCUUCGGACCUUGCGCGAUUGAAUGAGCCGAUGUCGGAUUAGCUAGUUGGCGGGGUAAAGGCCCACCAAGGCGACGAUCCGUAGCUGGUCUGAGAGGAUGAUCAGCCACACUGGAACUGAGACACGGUCCAGACUCCUACGGGAGGCAGCAGUGGGGAAUAUUGGACAAUGGGCGCAAGCCUGAUCCAGCCAUACCGCGUGGGUGAAGAAGGCCUUCGGGUUGUAAAGCCCUUUUGUUGGGAAAGAAAUCCAGCUGGUUAAUACCCGGUUGGGAUGACGGUACCCAAAGAAUAAGCACCGGCUAACUUCGUGCCAGCAGCCGCGGUAAUACGAAGGGUGCAAGCGUUACUCGGAAUUACUGGGCGUAAAGCGUGCGUAGGUGGUCGUUUAAGUCCGUUGUGAAAGCCCUGGGCUCAACCUGGGAACUGCAGUGGAUACUGGACGACUAGA